rnacentral:rRNA from 1 species
AGUGAACGCUGGCGGUAGGCCUAACACAUGCAAGUCGAACGGCAGCACAGUAAGAGCUUGCUCUUACGGGUGGCGAGUGGCGGACGGGUGAGGAAUACAUCGGAAUCUACUUUUUCGUGGGGGAUAACGUAGGGAAACUUACGCUAAUACCGCAUACGACCUACGGGUGAAAGCAGGGGAUCUUCGGACCUUGCGCGAUUGAAUGAGCCGAUGUCGGAUUAGCUAGUUGGCGGGGUAAAGGCCCACCAAGGCGACGAUCCGUAGCUGGUCUGAGAGGAUGGUCAGCCACACUGGAACUGAGACACGGUCCAGACUCCGACGGGAGGCAGCAGUGGGGAAUAUUGGACAAUGGGCGCAAGCCUGAUCCAGCCAUACCGCGUGGGUGAAGAAGGCCUUCGGGUUGUAAAGCCCUUUUGUUGGGAAAGAAAAGCAGCAGGUUAAUACCCCGCUGUUCUGACGGUACCCAAAGAAUAAGCACCGGCUAACUUCGU